UUGUUUUUCUCCAUCAUUGGAUUUAACUACUACCUCAUUUUAUAUGUGAAAUAACUAAUUAUCGAGAUGUCAAGUUCGACAAUAUAGACAUUUUUCAUUUGGAGAUAACUACGAAAAAAACAGCACCUGGAUCUAGUUUUUGCUUUAGCUAAGAUUAGCUGUGGCUGUCUCAUUUGAUAUAGCUAGCAUGUUUGCAUUAGCUGUGUAGUUUGCUCUCUAUCUGUGGCAGAGUGCAGUUACUGCUGCUUGGCUUGGUAUUUAGCUCUUUAAAGCUACAGUGCGUAGUUUCUGUCGCCCCCAUGAGGAAUUGUAAGUAAUGAAAACACACCGUCCCCACUCCUCCUACACGCAGUUGCUAGUAGCCAAGGAGGAGGACACAGAGGAUUUAAAAAAACAUGGACUCUUCAGAAGAGUAAAGAUUCAGGAGAGAUGCUGUAUCCUCCGCGGACCGAAGCAAAGCAGCUGUGAAGGUGAUGGUGAUCAGUCCUGACAGGAACAGAUUGGAGGGUCACAACUGAUGCCAACACAUGGGAGCUGCCUGACUAAUGAGCCACUGAUGCGACACACCUGAGGCGGACACCAGUGGUGCAAAGGUGGAAAGUUGAGCUGAGAGACACUAAGGGCACAACUAAGCAGAAGGCUGCUUUAAAAAAGACGGUGCAGAAGCUUUUAAAGGACAUGUACAGCUGGCAUACGCAAAGCUCCAAAAACCCCACAAGCUUGGAUUUUGUAAAG